CAGCCGCCGCGGUAAUACCGGCGGCCCGAGUGGCGGUCACUAUUAUUGGGCUUAAAGCGUCCGUAGCCGGGUUGGGAAGUCCUCCGGGAAAUCUGGCCGCUUAACGGUCAGAAUGCCGGAGGAUACUCCCAGCCUAGGGGGCGGGAGAGGCCGAGGGGAUUCCCGGAGUAGGGGUGAAAUCCUAUAAUCCCGGGAGGACCACCUGGGGCGAAGGCGCUCGGCUGGAACGCGUCCGACGGUGAGGGACGAAGGCCAGGGGAGCAAACCGGAUUAGAUACCCGGGUAGUCCUGGCUGUAAACGAUGCGGACUUUGUGUCGGACAAGCUAUGAGCUUGUCCGGUGCCGGAGGGAAACCGUUAAGUCCGCCGCCUGGGGAGUACGGCCGCAAGGCUGAAACUUAAAGGAAUUGGCGGG
rnacentral:rRNA from 1 species